UACCUCUUAGGGUUGAGUAUACAUCGUAAACAAAUUAAAGAAAAUAGUCUUUUUUUCAUAGGAAAGAGCACAAAAUGAUUCAAAGCUUCAAUUCAAAACGAGAGAUUUUUAGGCCUUUUAACUUAAAGCAAACAACCUACAGCAGCUAAUGAACACUCACUCUUUUCAGCUAAAAGCAGAGGUCAAAAAGGUGAGUAAAACAUGAGGAUUGAGUUAUUUAAAUUUUAAACAAAGGAAGCACAAUUUCGUAAAAGAAAUUAAGGAAUUGUGUACAAAGCCACAAUCACCAACUUUAGAGAAACAUGCAAUACAAGGCCUACAAAUUCAACAAGGUAAUUCUAUCUACCUGAGCAUACAUAUACAAGAUCUCUCGUUAGACAUUUGAAAAACAAUUUUAGGAGCAAGUAGGCAUAAAAUCCGUAUUGAAAAUUUAAGUGCAAGUGGCAUUCCUUUAUAAGGUUUACAAAACUCUGAAUGAGAAAUAAAUAAAUAACACUUCUAAACCAAGAAUUGUUUGCUUGCACAGGAAGCAAGCUUUUAUAUGAUUUUGUCCACAAAUUCUAAACCCUAAAUCAAGAAAUCUUCAAAUAGAUUUCUAAUACGGAUAACUAUGAACUAAAAAUAGACCUUUUAGAAUACCAUCUCAAAAUAGUUGAUCUAUAAAUAGAUUUCUAUCAUGUCCCCUUCAUGAGCUUGCAAACUUUAACUUUUUUUCUCUGUUGCCCAAUUACUGCUCUAUUUGGGCGAACUGGUAUCUCAUCCUAAGGCCAUCCAAAUGGGACUUUUUGGUCAAUGUAUUUAGUUAUAAAAUAAAGUUAUUUAUUUAAUUUUUAAUUUUGGAGGGAAAAACUUUAUUUGGGGGCCCAAAAUUGUAAUUGCCUAUGAAGGCAAAGCUAGGACCCCUUUUUGCAUUACCCCUUGUCAUUUGCAAAAUACAAUUUUUCAAAUUAAGUGCAAACAAGUAUGAUAUCCCUUUGCUGCAAUUUCCUGAGGAUGAAAACACUGAUAUCCAAUCGGAUUGAUUCCACUUCAAGAAUCCCAUUUGUAUUCAACGAUUCAGCUGAAGACAUUAAUUAUUUGAUCUGAUCUGAGUAUUAAGGCACCACCAUAAACAUAAUUCUAUCAAUGGCCGUUGGAAGGGCUGGCCCCUGAUCUGCUUACUGGUUAGAUUGAUGAAUUGGAGUUCAACAUAUUUUAGUGUGAAUCCAUUAGCCCUUGGCAAGUCUGCUCACUAAUCAGUCACCGCUCAUCCAUGAAAGUUAAUCGCACUUUGUGGCAGGAGUAGUGACUGCUGAAACCCCAGUUACAGUAGCUAUCUAUAAUUGUAAUGCCCUUUUUGAUGUACCAGUUAUACCCUGUUUUGCAUUCUAAUAACCAGUCUUUGGAGAGCAAUCUAAGCUAAGUUGCUAUUUA